rnacentral:lncRNA from 1 species
AGGGUAAAAGCCAGACCUAGUGCAUUAUGGUACAGUAAAAAUAGCAGAAGGAGCUGGCUGGAAUGAUCUUGAAGAAGAAAUGAAGCACUCGGUGGCUCUGCCCUUCUGCGUCCCUCGGAAACGGCAGCCGGCUUUAUUUGCGCGCCGGUUUCGUUGUUGAUUUGUUGCCGCUAUACAAUAUUCGGUUAAUUGUGGACGGGCUCAAGCUGUGCUCAUCCCUGCGAAGGCUGCCGCGGCUGCACGGUGCUCACAGGAGCAGGCUCGUUUCUCCGGGACCCGCCAGCUCCACAGCCUGGCACCAGCAGGCGACGGGACGCGGCGCUCGGGAGGUGAGCAGGCGGCGUCGCGGGCUCAGCUGGGACCAGGCAUGGGUAAUAUCCCGGUCAUUUGUCUAGAAAAGACAGAAGCCAGCAAGCUCCUUUUGUACAUUCCACCUGCAUCCCAGACGCUAACUAACCCGUAUGCAAACAGAAAGAACCCUUCCUAUUGUUGCAUGAGAAACAACAAAGGUCUCCGUCAGCAGCCAGCCAGCAAUAGACCCAGAAGUCACUUGGAUUCUGUGUUUUCUGGCACAAAACCCAACGCCACACACUCGGGCUUUGUUCUCUGUGCUUCAUUUCCAGAAUGUUUUAUGUCUCAGCAACAAUCGGGCAUUCAGCAGUCCAUUAGCCAUGUUGCCAAUCUGUUACUCCAUCUUUGAUUUUUUUUAAUGUGCAGUAGUUUUCCAAAGAUCAAUAUCUGACAUUAGUUGCCUUGUGCAGUGGCCAAAAAAUGAUAGGGCUCUGACCUUGAAGAAUUUGGGACUGGUUUUUCCUGGGGACAUGUCUUAGGACAACAUCGAGAGAAGCAAUCUUUCAUCUCCGACCCUCCUCCGAUGCGCCCUCCUCCAAAUGGCACUGCCCGGGUUUCACUGAUUCAGUGAGUGAAUCUUUCCUGAGCAGCCGUGUACCAGGCACUGCACUAGGUUUGGGAACUUAAGGCUCUGCAAGGGAGCAACAGAAUGAGGUGAUAGGUAAAGCAAGUGCCGUCCACGCGUGGCACCACAGCUGCCUACUUCCUCCCGUUUUGUCCACUUCGCUUUUUGGGACACUGUUACGAGUUCCGUGAUCUAAUAACUGCUGCCACUGCCCUCUCUCUCAGCAUGAAGACUGUGGUCAGAUUUCACAGGUCAUGUCUCACUAUUCCAUACGUGACUGCUGGAGAUGCCUCAUCAGAGGCUGGACAACCUACUGCCAAGUGUCCUAUAAAGAGGAUAGAAUCUUGCUUUUGAUGGGAGGUUGCAUAAGCUGGCUUCUAAGGUCUAAUGCUGAUACUGUGCGAUUAUUUUUUCAAACCACGUCGGGAUAGAAAAACAGAUAUGUCAAGUGCUUAGCAUCGUUCCUAGAGGAUACCAAAUGCUCCCUAAAGUGGUAUUGUUAUAAUUAUUGCACACAAAAUAUUUCAGUGAUUUCUCUCUUCCCUUUCAUUGUCCCAGAGCCUGUUCUCUGAUUUCCAACCUCCUACUUAUAAAUUCCAAAAGAAAAGGGAUCUUCUCUUAGCUGGCAUCUCCCACAGUGUGUUAGAUAAAAUUGGCAGUCAAAUAUUGAUUGAACAUAGGCCUUGUACACCACACAGAACUAGCAGAUAAUUUUUAGGGAAGUGUGUUGUGCCAUACACCAUAGGGAGCUGGGAGGCCGAGGAAGAAAGCACUGCGCCUGGGAACACAUGCAAGCUUGCGUUCACGGAUCCACACGCUGUGCCAGACUCCUUCUAAGGCCUUUCAUUAAAGCCAUUUCUAUGUCAGGACAAGCAGGUAGGAGGAGGGUACAGGUGAUACUUUCAGACUUGGUCCUACAAUGGGCACUGCUGCCUAACAGAGUGUGAGUGCAAGAGGCUCUCACAGUGUGUGGCUGCUUCCUCAGGGGUAAGACGGGGUGAAGCCCCACACCCCAGCUGGCAGCCACCGACACAUGGCUGGAUCCCAGUACAGUUCCCUCCUGAUAUGGUUUGGCUUUGUGUCCCCACUCGAAUCUCAUGUUGAAUUGUAAUUUCCAGUGUGGAUGGAGGGACCUGUUAGGGGGUGAUUAGAUUGGGGGGUGGAUUUCCCCCUUGCUGUUCUUGUGAUGAAGUUCUCAGGAGAUCUGGUUGUUUGAAAGUGUGCAGCACCUCUCCCUUCUCUCUCUCUCCUGCUGCAUCUUGUGAAGAAUGCUCACUUCCCCUUCGCCUUCCGCCAUGAUAGUUAAGUUUCCCGAGGCUUCCUAGUCAUGCUUCCUGUACAGUUUGUGGAACUGUGAGUCAAUUAAAUUUCU